rnacentral:tRNA from 2 species
CCGGCAUGCCGUCCGGACCGGGCGGGCACGAUCGCGCGUUCGACGCGGGCGAGACGAUGGUGAUCGGCGCGCCGCGGUUCUGAACCGUCGCGCCGGG